rnacentral:rRNA from 1 species
AGCGAACGCUGGCGGCAGGCCUAACACAUGCCAGUCGAACGAACCUUUCGGGGUUAGUGGCGGACGGGUGAGUAACACGUGGGAACGUGCCUUUAGGUUCGGAAUAACUCAGGGAAACUUGUGCUAAUACCGAAUGUGCCCUUCGGGGGAAAGAUUUAUCGCCUUUAGAGCGGCCCGCGUCUGAUUAGCUAGUUGGUUGAGGUAAUGGCUCACCAAGGCGACGAUCAGUAGCUGGUCUGAGAGGAUGAUCAGCCACAUUGGGACUGGGACACGGCCCAAACUCCUACGGGAGGCAGCAGUGGGGAAUCUUGCGCAAUGGGCGAAAGCCUGACGCAGCCAUGCCGCGUGAAUGAUGAAGGUCUUAGGAUUGUAAAAUUCUUUCACCGGGGACGAUAAUGACGGUACCCGGAGAAGAAGCCCCGGCUAACUUCGUG